GGCCCGUUGGUCAAGCGGUUAAGACACCGCCCUUUCACGGCGGUAACACGGGUUCGAAUCCCGGUCGGGACC
rnacentral:tRNA from 1 species